rnacentral:rRNA from 1 species
UACGGGGGGAGCAAGCGUUGUUCGGAUUUACUGGGCGUAAAGGGCGCGUAGGCGGCCAGCACAAGUCAGUUGUGAAAUCUCCGGGCUUAACUCGGAAAGGUCAACUGAUACUGUGCGGCUAGAGUGCAGAAGGGGCAACUGGAAUUCUCGGUGUAGCGGUGAAAUGCGCAGAUAUCAGGAAGAACACCCGUGGCGAAAGCGGCUCUCUGGGACGGUACUGACGCUGAGACGCGAAAGCGUGGGGAGCGAACAGG